UGGUGGGUUGCCUUGUCAGGUUGAUUCCGGUAACGAACGAGACCUCAGCCUGCUAAAUAGUCACUUGCGCCUUUUGGCGGAUGCGGACUUCUUAGAGGGACUAUUAACGUUUAGUUAAUGGAAGUAUGAGGCAAUAACA
rnacentral:rRNA from 1 species